UACCAGGAGGAGAGGAUGCCGUCCAAUUUGGCAAGUUUGCUCGCUGCUUCCCCACGAUCUAGGUCAGAUUAUUCUCUCCUAUGCAUCUUCAGUUGCUUCUCGCUGCUCCACGAAUGCAUCGCCGCAUUGCUCAUGUCGUUGUUGUUCUGUUGUGUGCUGAGACAAGGUGUGUUGAUAUCUGUUGGCCUGCUGCCACCUAACCGAGCUGCUGCCAGCGGCCACCUUCCCGAGCUCAUGUCGCCGGCCACCAUUCCACCUUGCCGCUGCCGACGACCUCCCUAAUAAGCCGCUGCUGGUGUGAUAGGACCGGUUGGGUUCCUGCUGGUAAUAGGGAGUAGUAGCUGCUGGAUUGUGAUAGCAUUUGAUCCUUUUUUUGUCUGUUUAGGUGAGUAAUGGUCCAGAUGAUAGGGUGUGAUCGUGUACUUUUCUGUCAUGCAACACGUUUGUGUUGGCUACCGUAUAACACGAUUAUUUUCGUGUACAUGAGAAAAAGCAAAGCAAUGGAAGUAAUCCUGAUGUAUCCCGCCUGCUGUACUGGUGGAACUGUGGAGCUCACCAGGAUUGGGAAUUCAGAGAAGGCAGGGAUAGGUGCAUUGCACAAGCUUGAGUUUGUUGUGCGGUUGUCAGGCACGAUGGAAAGUUUGGUUCCUGGUAAUAGAUUGAUCAAUUCAUGGAUCAGUUGAAAGAGGUGGUUGUUUACACUAUUGAGCGAUUUGAUUUGUACAAUCAUAAGAAGAGAUAUAGAUGUCGUUGGUUUGGUGAACAAGGUCGCUGAUGUAUUACCUCCUUCUGGGAAUGCUAGGACCUAGAAGCGGCAGGUGUACAUCACAGAUGGAAGCAAUCAUGUUGUUGUUACCUUGUGGGGGGAGCAAGCUGAUUUAUUUGAUGCUGGUGGAUUGAUGGAGGCAUGACAGUUAGUUAGUACUCAGCUCUUGCGGACAUUGGAGCAAUACAUAUGGUGGUAUUGUGUGCAGUUAAAUUAUAAAAUCCCAUGCUGUUUGUGCCGGAGUUAUUUUCUGAAGCGACAAACCUCUUGUGGUGUCAAGGAAUGGUUGUCGGUAACAAUUCCUUUUUUGGUGUUCAAUUCAGACCAUAAGGGAUGUGAGAAUGAACACCCAGUCAAAUAAUCGGAGACAGGACAAAACAAAGUUCAGGCUUUGCAGCAGUUUCCAGGGGAAUUUGUUGUGUUAUGCAACAUAUAUGAAAGGUUGUAUUUAAAAAAGUCGUGUUUUAGAAAACUUCAAGAGAAGAUGACUGACUGUAUGGAGCCAUGAUGAAAAGAGUGCUAAACCACAAGUUUGAAGCUAGCAGUCAUUUCAGUCUAACAAUUAUCUUGGUUUCUUGAAGACAAGUUGAACCCGCCAAUACGAGGAUUGUUCUCUCCAGUUUUUUUA